rnacentral:rRNA from 1 species
GACGAACGCUGGCGGCGUGCCUAAUACAUGCAAGUAGAACGCUGAAGCGAGGAUCUUACUCUUCUUGGAUGAGUUGCGAACGGGUGAGUAACGCGUAGGUAAUCUGCCUGGUAGUGGGGUAUAACUAUUGGAAUCGAUAUCUAAUACCGCAUAACAAUGUAUGGCACAUGUCGUUUAUUUGAAAUGCGCAGUUGCUCCACUACAAGAUGGACCUUCGUUGUGUUAGCUAGUAGGUGAGGUAAAGGCGCACCUAGGCGACGUAACAUAGCCGAACUGAGAGGAUGGGCAGCCAGACUGGGACGGAGACCGGGCCCAGAGUCCUACGGGAGGGAGCCGUAGGGAAUCGUGGGCAAGGGGGGCAACCCUGACCGAGCAACGCCGAGGGAGUGAAGAAGGUUGUCGGGUCGUAGAGCUCUGUUGUAAGUCAAGAAAGGGUGUUAGAGUGGAAAGUUCACACUGUGACGGUAGCUGACCAAAAAGGGACGGCUAACUACGUG